GCAAGUCGAACGGGAAAGUAUCCUUCGGGAUGCGAGUACAGUGGCGGACGGGUGAGUAAUGCGUGAUCAAGCUACCUCUGGGAGUGGGAUAGCCAUUCGAAAGGAUGGGUAAUACCACAUAAGACCACAGCAUCGCAUGGUGCAGUGGUAAAAGGGUUGGGAUCUUCGGACCUUCCGCCUGGGGAUGUGAUCACGUCCUAUUAGCUUGUUGGUGAGGUAACGGCUCACCAAGGCCUUGAUGGGUAGCCGGCUUGAGAGGGCGAAC
rnacentral:rRNA from 1 species